rnacentral:lncRNA from 1 species
AUCUGCACAUUAGGCGUAUUUAAUUAUACAGAAAUAUGGACGGGCCAAUGCCAACUUGGGCCUGGAUCAACAUUUUGAAACAUGGGCCGAUGUCAAUACCCCUCAAGCAGGACUCACGUGGAAGAGACAGGUGAGUGUUAGAAUUCAAAAUUACAUUGUAACGAGUAUCACAAACUAUUCAACCAAAAAGAAUUAUGGGUAAAUUAACUAUAUAAACUUAUUAGAUUAGUUAUUACAAGUUAUAGAAAAACUUGUAAGUUUUCAAGUUAUAGCAACUUUCAUUUUAAAAAAAUAUAUAAAAAAUAUUUUUUUUUUGGUUGAAAAUACAAAAAAAUAAUUAAUGAAAAAGAAAAAGUAAGAUUUAAUACAAUUAAUAUACAAAUUAUCUUCCUUAAAAAUAGUUAACCUUAAUUAAUGAUAUUUAUCCACCUCAAAUCCCUCUAACCAUUUAUUUUUGUUCCUAUUUUAAUGCUUGCAUUAAGAUUCCCAUCUUUAUACACUACCUUCCUCUGUUACACGAUUUCUCUCUACCAGUACACAAAAAACGCUUGCUAACUAAGCAUUGUUGAAUAUAGUUUGAAAAAUAAAUAAAUAAGUAUUUCUUUAGAUAACAAAUAUGAAUUCUGUUAAUUUGCAUUCAAUCAUGAUAAGUCAUGGAGGGAGAUGGGAUUCGUCAGGUUUGUUAAUUUAUUUUUACGCCUUCUAAACGAAUUUAAAUAUAUAUUUUUUGUGUGUUUCUUCAAUUAUCUGUUGUUACAAUGUUGAAUUUUGGACGUUUAUCAAUUUCACUAAAAUUAUUAUAUAAACAGGAAUACCGAGGGACUUCGGAAUUGAUGGGAUAAUGUAUGAUGCAACGACCAAGUACAAAGGAUUAGUAGAAGCAAUCGCAACACAACUGAUGAUAGACACAUCUACAAAUAAUCUUGAAAUCCGAUACAUAAUAAGUGAUAGAUGCCC